AACGAACGCUGGCGGCGUGCCUAACACAUGCAAGUCGAGCGGAGAUAUAUGGAAGAUUUAUCUGAAAUGUAUCUUAGCGGCGGACGGGUGAGUAACGCGUGGGUAACCUACCUCAUACAGGGGGAUAACACAGGGAAACUUGUGCUAAUACCGCAUAACACCAUUGGAUGGCAUCAUACGAUGGUCAAAGGAGUAAUCCGGUAUGAGAUGGACCUGCGUCCGAUUAGCUAGUUGGUAAGGUAAAAGCUUACCAAGGCGACGAUCGGUAGCCGAACUGAGAGGUUGAUCGGCCACAUUGGGACUGAGACACGGCCCAGACUCCUACGGGAGGCAGCAGUGGGGAAUAUUGGGCAAUGGGCGCAAGCCUGACCCAGCGACGCCGCGUGAGGGAUGAAGGUCUUCGGAUUGUAAACCUCUUUCAGUAGGGAAGAAGCGAAAGUGACGGUACCUAAAGAAGAAGCACCGGCUAACUAUGUGCCAGCCGCCGCAGUAAUAC
rnacentral:rRNA from 1 species